GUUUGGUCCUUAAUGGGUUAAGUGAAUAAACCCUCUCAGUGAAUAACAGUGUUUCGGGUUUAUGGACUAGAAUCUAGACAGAAGAUUGUGCUGAAUUAUAAAGAAAGUUGUGAAAUGUAGGGUAAUACAGCUAAUUUAGAAAGCUAACAAAAGACAAAGCUUCAGAGAAAAGUUCAGCAUCUACUCGCUUUGCAAGGUGACGCUGAACGCUUGUUUCAAAACAUCUGUAGGGGGAGAUGCUGAU